rnacentral:rRNA from 1 species
UACGUAGGGUGCAAGCGUUAAUCGGAAUUACUGGGCGUAAAGCCUGCGCAGGCGGCUUUGCAAGACAGAUGUGAAAUCCCCGGGCUCAACCUGGGAACUGCAUUUGUGACUGCAAGGCUAGAGUACGGCAGAGGGGGAUGGAAUUCCGCGUGUAGCAGUGAAAUGCGUAGAUAUGCGGAGGAACACCAAUGGCGAAGGCAAUCCCCUGGGCCUGUACUGACGCUCAUGCACGAAAGCGUGGGGAGCAAACAGG